CACUGGUUGGGGCACUGAGCUAGGCCCAAUGAGGUAUGCAAAAAAGAGAAAGCACUGAUCCUUACCACCAUGGAGCUUAUAAGGUAGCUGCAAAAGGGAAGAGACACACUCCUAAGAUCACUAACAACAUCCAACAGGAAAUAAUAAGUUCCAAAUGGGCGCUACGCACGAAUUGCAAAUUUUAAUAUCUGCUUUUAGAAUUAUCUCCUGUCUACAAGCAAUGGACCAGUAAUAACACCCAUUCAAGAGCAACAUCUGAAACAACUUCAUAUAAUGGAAAGGUUUAAUUGCAUGUAUUGAAAUUGGAGCACAAUCUGAAAUAGAAGUGGUGAUGAUUGACUUCCUCAUAUUGCUCCUGAUUGUACUGGAAAAGUUGGUCAGGGAGAGAUAUUACUGUAAAUAAUGAGCAUUGUUUAUCUUACUGGUCUUUUCAAAGAGCCUACACCUUUCCGUAUGUGCUACGGAGACAUGCACGUACUACAUACAUCAUGUGGCACAAGGAACUAGAUCCUGCUAGCAACCACUCGAGUGAGCUUGGAGACAGAUACCCACCAGAAAAGCCUUCAGAUAGGACCGCAUGCCCAGCCAACACUUUGAUUUGUGAGAGACGUUGAACCAUGGGCACCCUGCUAAGCUGCACCUGAAUUCUUACCCCACAGAGACUGUGACAUAAUUUGUGUUUUCUGUUUCAAGCAACUAAGUUUUGGGGUAAUUGUUAUACAGCAAUAGACAACUAAUUUAGUCGAUGAUUGAGUCUCUUAGACAUUUGUCACCCCUUUCUAUUUGGUUUGUGUGGUCAGGUAUUAAGGUCCCUGAGUUCUGUUGUUACAGAGUAAUCAAUCAACUAACACCAACUAAAUAAACAAAAGGUGCAAAGCAGGGCCUUUCCUCUCGGAAGUCCCCUCUCUCUCACUAGAGAGAGAGAGCUGUUUUCCUUUCUCUUUCUCUUUCUUUUGCCUAUUAAACCUUUGCUCCUAAACUAAAAAAAAAAAGUGCAAUGCAGAGGUUAGACUUUUAGAUUGUGCAACUCUUGACUUGCAUAACAUCAACCUUUUGUAAGUUGUUCCAUAAGGGAUGGAAUACAGUUUUAGAGAUGUGAAAAUAUUAGUGUGAUAUAUGGAAAUGUAAAGUAUCUCAGGCAGAGAUGAAUAUUGUGCAUAGAGAGGGAAAGGCAGACGGCACUCACAUGAGAGGGAAGGCCCUUCUGUUCAGUCCCAUGUGGUUUCUGGUACCAUGUGUAUUCUCAUUGCAUUAUCUUGUGUUAUUUCAGUUUAUUAGUUUUAUUUUUCCCUUUGCUUUAUUUCAUUCAGGACUAAAAAUUGACAAAGUAAGAGCAAGAAGAGAGGAACAGUUUCUAAUUUAAGAAGAGGAAUUUGUAAUAGAAAAUAAAAAUGUUAAAGAAACACAAAGGCAUCCACAGUCUAAAUUUCAUGAACUUCAUUUGGGAAAUAUUUUUUAAAUUACGGUAAUUUAUGGAUAAAAAGCAUGAAAGAUGGGCUGGGCAUGAUGCCUCAUGCCUGUAAUCCCAGCACUUUGGGA